UGGGGAAUUUUGGACAAUGGGGGAAACCCUGAUCCAGCCAUCCCGCGUGUGCGAUGAAGGCCUUCGGGUUGUAAAGCACUUUUGGCAGGAAAGAAACGUCGCGGGUUAAUACCCCGCGAAACUGACGGUACCUGCAGAAUAAGCACCGGCUAACUACGUGCCAGCAGCCGCGGUAAUACGUAGGGUGCAAGCGUUAAUCGGAAUUACUGGGCGUAAAGCGUGCGCAGGCGGUUCGGAAAGAAAGGUGUGAAAUCCCAGAGCUUAACUUUGGAACUGCAUUUUUAACUACCGGGCUAGAGUGUGUCAGAGGGAGGUGGAAUUCCGCGUGUAGCAGUGAAAUGCGUAGAUAUGCGGAGGAACACCGAUGGCGAAGGCAGCCUCCUGGGAUAACACUGACGCUCAUGCACGAAAGCGUGGGGAGCAAACAGGAUUAGAUACCCUGGUAGUCCACGCCCUAAACGAUGUCAACUAGCUGUUGGGGCCUUCGGGCCUUGGUAGCGCAGCUAACGCGUGAAGUUGACCGCCUGGGGAGUACGGUCGCAAGAUUAAAACUUAAAUGAAUUGACGGGGGUCAUAGCUGUUU
rnacentral:rRNA from 1 species